rnacentral:misc_RNA from 1 species
GAUGAAGAACGCAGCGAAAUGCGAUAAGUAAUGUGAAUUGCAGAAUUCAGUGAAUCAUCGAAUCUUUGAACGCACAUUGCGCCCUCUGGUAUUCCGGGGGGCAUGCCUGUUCGAGCGUCAUUAUAACCACUCAAGCUCUCGCUUGGUAUUGGGGUUCGCGGUUCCGCGGCCCCUAAAAUCAGUGGCGGUGCCUGUCGGCUCUACGCGUAGUAAUACUCCUCGCGAUUGAGUCCGGUAGGUCUACUUGCCAGUAACCCCCAAUUUUUACAGGUUGACCUCGGAUCAGGUAGGGAUACCCGCUGAACUUAAGCAUAUCAAUAAGCGGAGGA